GAAACAACCGACUUUGUUGACAACGACGAAAUGAAAACGAAGAAGAUAACUAACCACAGAAAAGCCAAACGGCCAGGUUUUUGCCAAGUGGAGCAUCACUUAGCCGUUACUCUGCUUUUUCUUCUUCUUCUUCUCUGGAAAAACUGUAAAAGCUCCGCUUUCUCUCUCUGUUUACACAGCCGAAUUUUGACCUGUUUGGCCGCCCAGAAAAUCUCUCGAGGUAACCACUUUGAAUGCUCUCUCUUCCUCCAUUCUUCUUGGUUAUAAUUAUUUGGUUUUGUUGUGAGUUGUCUAAUUUGUCUAUGUACGUUCCUUAUAUAAUUUUAUUUGUUUAUUUAUUUUGAUGGGUUUGAAGAUAAUGCAAGACAAAAUGGAUCGGAUGAGGGAAUGCUCUACCAAGGAAUCUUGCGAGUAUGUUGCAAGAAAGCUCGUCUCUGAUGAUAUACUUCCUCAUAUUCUCAACUUAUAUGGAUCUUGUGCAACACCUCGUGACUUUGAAAUCUACGCCCCAAAUGCUUCCUUUGAAGAUCCUCUCAUGUGUGCUCAAGGGGUAAAGCAGAUCAAAUCAGCAUUCUAUUCACUUUCCAGGGUAAUACCAUUUUCACUUAUUCCAAAUUAUUUUUUUAGAUUUGAUUAGGAUGAUCUUCUUUGAAAAUAUUUUGACUAGCAUGAAAAUAAGCUAUAUAGUACUAUAACAUAAAAAUAUAGUGGUUUGAAGACGCAAGCACCAAGAACCUCACACACACACACACACUGGCGUUUGGAGAAAAUCUGAUAAGAAAGUUUUUAUUGAAUGAAUGCUAAAACUGAAAUGCAUAGAUUAAGAGAGUUUAUUUAGAGUUUAUAGUCCUAAACUAAUUAGGAAUAGGUUUCUCUAAACUAGGAAAACAAGAAAGUCCUAAAUAAAGCAGGAAAUCUAAUAUAAAUAGGAAAAGGAAAAUAUUGAAGAAUUGGACGUUCUGGGUGGGACAAAACAUGGCCCAUGUGGAAUUACCUAGGGUAGCCAUGUAACAUACUGGAAGAACUGGCACUCCCUUCGCUGAUGUCAACAUGGCCGUGCUAAAUUACAUGGCAUGGCCGUGUUGCCUACUGUGUCUUCUGGUCCUCGCAUCUGCUAUCACACAGCUGAGCCAUGUUGUUGCCUGGGAUCAUAUGGCCUGGCUGAGUGCUUUUCUGUAUCUCCACGCUCUGCUUCUUGGCUUGACAUGCCUGGCCCGUGGAAGUUCCUUUGGUACAUGGGGUGGGCAUGUGUUGUUCUGGACAUCGCUUCCUCAACUUGUUCUUGUGUUUUUCCCAUUGCUCCAUAAACUCUUCACUAACACCAUCGACGUCAAAUUUUUUGUUUGUAACAAAGUGAUGCAAUUUCAACCAAACAGAUAGCAUUGUUUUGCUAGGUAGGUGUAAAAUCCUUGUUAACUUAUUUGGUUGAAUGUAUUUGUUGCUGUCUGAUUUUUCUUGAGGCACAUUAUGAUAUUGUAUGUUAGCCUUUUCCUUUCUGUAUUUUGAUGCUGUUAAUUUAACUCAUUAAGCUAGUAUUUGAUAGAAAGGUGUCAGGUGAAGGGAUUUUAUAUUUAGGAGACCAAUUAUAUCUUUAGGACAUUGCUAAACCAUGUAUCAAUAAUCUUUUAUUUGUUCAUCUAUUCUUGUUUCUUAAAUACCUUUUAGGUCUUUAAGGAAUCCAGCAUUACUGAAUAUAGUGUCAAGGAAAAUGUAAUGGCACCUGGAAAGCAAGAGAUAUUAAUUGACAACAAACAGCAUUAUAUAUUCUUGGGAAGAAGCAUAAAUAUGGUAUCACUCAUCAAGCUGUAUGUUGAGGAUGGGAAAGUCAUUCGCCAUGAAGAUUGGUGGAACAAGAAGCCCAUUGGCAAUCGACACACAAGUAUGUUCCCAGUGGUUGGCCGUUUUAAAGAAAUUAUUCGCAGGGGAUUGAUGCUUGCAACACAUGCUAUGAUGGGAUUUGGGAAGGAUCCAAACGUAAAAUAGAAAGAUCUAUUAUGCGUGUUUUUUCUUACUUAGUUCGGGUGAUUUUCGUGUAUUUAUAUUAUUGUAUGUUUCUUGUUCGUUGAUGUUCCAAGCUGUGCAGGCUUUCAGAUGAAUUAAGGUUUCAAACUAUUCUUCUGCUCGAUAUUAGAAAUGAUUAGCAUUUGGGGGUUGCAUUAUGAUCACUAUAAGUUGAUUGAACACAUAUAUCAUACUAAAACGAGUGAGUUUAAUAA
rnacentral:misc_RNA from 1 species